rnacentral:lncRNA from 1 species
GCAUAUGGAAAUUCCCAGGCUAGGGGUCGAAUCAGAGCUACAGCUGUAGAUCUACACCACAGCCACAGCAUUGUGGGAUCUGAGCCUCGUCUUCGACCUACACCACAGCAAUGCCAGAUCCUUAACCCACUGAGUGAGGCCAAGGAUUGAACCCGCAUCCUCAUGGAUACUAAUCGGGCUUGCUACUGCUGAGCCACAAUGGGAACUUCCGGGGGUAGGAAAAAUCUCAAAGAGAGCAAGGUCCUAUGGAAAAAUAUCCACAGUAUGGUGGGGUCAUAGGUGUCCCCACUUAAAGAUAUGCCCACAUCCUAAACCUUCCAUAACUGGGAAUGUGACUUUUUUUUUGGCCGCGCCCUCAGUAUGCAGAAGUUACUGGGCCAAGGAUCAAACCCAAGCCACAGCAGCAACCCCAGCUGCUGCAAUGACAACACUAGAUCCUUAACCCACUGACCCACCAGGGAACUGCAAUGCAACCUUCUUGGAAAUAGGGUCUGUCCAGAUGCAAUUAAGUAAAAGAUCUUGAGAUGAGAUCAUCCUGGACUUAGGGUGGGCUCCAAGUCCAGGGACAGGUGUUCUUAUAGGAAAAGAGAGGGGGAAAUAGAGAAAGGAAGGCUGUGUAAAGAUGGAAGGAGAGAUGGGAGUGAUGCAGCCACAAGCCAAGUUAUGCUGAGGGUUGCUAGCAGCCACCAGAAGCCAGGGGAGAGAAACAUAGGAUGAGUUCUCCCUCAGAACCUCCAAAAGGAAUCCAUCCUGCUCACGCCUUGGUCACAGACCUCUGUCUGGUCUCUGGGACUGUGAAACAACACAUGUGUUUUGUUUAAAGCCACCCACUUUGUAGUCAUUGGUUAAAGCAGAUGGGAAACUCACAUGCAUGGAUAGGUGAGUAGAGCUGGGGUCUCUGCACGCUGGGCCCAGGAUGAACAUAGCAGAGAUCAUCUGCUGCAGAUUCCCUGGGUCCAGCAGGGAGUAAGGUGAGCCCAUAAACAGCUGGGGUGGAGCGAGAUAAAUGCCGUGAAAGAGGUGCAAUUAUUAUUGUUCUCAUCACCAUUAUUGUUAUUGAGUCAUUAUUGGCCUCCGUGAAAUGGGGGAGGCGCUCAUUAUCUGCCCCUUCCACCUCCAGCCCAUCCCUCCGUUCCCCACCCCAGGUAAUGGAGCCUCUUUCUUCCACUGAGGCUAGAGUUGCCAGAUCAAACACAAGCCACCUCGUUAAAGGUGAAUGUCAGAGAGAUGAAGAGUGAUGUUUUCACCUAAGUAUGUCCCUGUAAACUUCUUUCCCCUCCCCUUCUUAGCUUAGAGUGGUUGUUUUUACAAACAAUCUUUUCGUUUUGGAAUGACAGCUCUAACUGCAGAAAAGCUGCGAAGAUCACCUACAGAGAUCCCCUCUCCACUUGGCCCAGUUUCUCCGAAAGUUAACAUCUCGCGAGACCGCUGUGUGUGUGUGUGUGUGUGUGUGUGUGUGUGUGUGUGUGUGUGUGUGUAAAUGGAGAAAUUAAGCGUGAGCGACGCUGUUGACUGCACUCCAGCCUUUGUUUGAUGCCACCACGUUAUCCAUGAGUAUCCUCUUUCGGUUCUAGAUCUCAUACUGCCUUAGUCACCCGUCGCCCCCGUCUCCUCUGGUCUGUGACAGUUACACAGCCUUUGUUUUUCUCAGGACUUUGACGGACCUGCAGAGUGCUGGCUGGGUAUCCCCCAGGACAACCGAAUGUCCCCCCCCUCAACCCCCGUUUUGGGUUUGCCUGAUGUUUUGUUGUGAUUUGACCGAGGGACUUGAGGAGAAGACCACAGAGGUGGGGGGGUCCUUCAUGUCACACCAUCCCAGGGGUACCGCGUGACUUUUCACAGUGAUGUGAACGCUGUCCUUUGGGGGUACCAUGAGCAUUCCCUAAACAUCUUCAGGAACCAGAGUUUUGGUUCCUUGAAUGCAGGAGAUGGCAAUAGCAUGUACCAGGCACAGGGUCAGAUCCCAGGAUACACCCCUCCCCACUGCCGGAGAUGGAUUUUUUUUUUUUUCUCUUUUUCUUUUCUUUUUUUGGCUGCUUCACAGCAUAUGGAGUUCUCAGGCCAGGGAUCAGAUCGGAGUUGUAGUUGCAACCUAUGCUGCAGCUACAGCUAUGCCAGAUCUUUUAACCCAUCCAGCACUGGACCAGGGAUGGAACUUGCAUGCUGGUGCUGCAGAUGCCUCUGAUCCCAUUUCACCACAGCAGGAUCUUAUUUUAUUUUGUCUUUUUAGGGCCACACCAUGGCGUAUGGAGAUGCCACAUGCCACAGCCACAGCAACACCAGGUCUGAGCUGCAUCUGCAUCCUAUACCACAGCUCACAGCAAUGUCAGAUCCUUAACCCACUGAGUGAGGCCAGGGAUCGAACCUUCGUCCUCAUGGAUACUAGUCAGAUUCAUUUCUGCUUUCCAAGGAAGACGGUUUUUAAGUGGAGGAAAUGAAAGUGCUUCUUCAACUGCAGAGCCUGUGAAUCCUGAAACAGUCCUCUUUUCUUCCCAGUUUGUUUCCCAGCAUGCACACUUUACAGACUCAGUAAGUGAUUUUGAGAGGUAUGCUUGAAUCGUGUUCCUCUAACUUAACAGCCCAAAGAACAUAAGCUGAGCCAUUUUAACUCUCAGAGUUGAUGUAAUCUGCCCAGUAGCUCCAUGAUGUUAUCCAAAAUUUCCUGAGAACAGAGGCUCAGAGAGGCAGAGGUACCUCCUGAAGGUCACACAGCAACUUGGGUCUGCUUACUCCCACUGACUCUGCUCCGCAUGGUAAAAAGCCUCAGUAGUUAAGUUGCCUUGCUCCUAGAAUAUGUUCUUAAGAGGCGGGGGUGGAGAGGCAAAUCAGCCUGAGAACUCGGUUACAGGGGCCCAUAAAUAGAAUUUUCCAACCUCAGCACUGCUGACAUUUGGGGCUGAACCAUUCUCUGGGGGUGGGACUGUCCCGUGCAUUGUAGGAGGUUGAGUAGCAUCCCUGGUCUACCACCCACAGAUGCCAGUAGCAUCCCCCAGUUGUGACACCCAGAAAUGUUUCCAAGUUUUCCCUGGGGGGCAGGCAGAGACCCUCUGUGGGUCUCUAGGAAGUGAGGCUGCUCCUCAGAGGUGUGAUUUGCAUUUUCAGCAAACUCUGGAGCCCUGCUGGGCAGUCUGUCCUGUUCCCAGCUCUGGGAAGGAAAUCUCCUUCCAUCACCACCGUCACUGGCCAGCAUGUAAGACGUUGGAUGUUUGCAAUUUAAUAAGAAAAGUCUGAGCUCCUCUGACCCAGGGGGGCCUUGUGCUCAGCGAUUUGUACUGUUUACACCAAACAGUGACUUAUGAACCACAGAAAGCCCGUCACCUGCCGAUAUGUGCAGAGCAAGAAAAACCAGAGAGGCAGUCAGCUUUCCAGGCCUGACUCAUGUGCUGCUGUGCUGGGAGCAUGGCCAAGGCGUGACUCACAGCCUUCGAUGUCAUACCUGUGCCCUCAGCUCAGGGACAGCACCCCUCUGAGAAAAUAUUGGCUAAACCCACAGCAAUCAGGCUCGGCUGUGUGCUUGCUUGAAACACCCAGGGCGUGAAGGGGUGUGGGACCCAUGAUGGCUUGGUACACUUGGGCGCCCCAGGCUGUUUGUAGGAGGCAGGCUGAGUCAGCCGUGGAGAGUGGUACCAGGGAAAGACCCUGGAGAAAGGGAGAGGGGAGUGGAAUUUCAGAUAUGCACCUUCUGGACUGUGUAUUCACUUU